rnacentral:rRNA from 1 species
CCUACGGGAGGCAGCAGUGGGGAAUUUUGGACAAUGGGCGCAAGCCUGAUCCAGCAAUGCCGCGUGCAGGAUGAAGGCCUUCGGGUUGUAAACUGCUUUUGUACGGAGCGAAACGGUCUGCUUUAAUACAGUGGGCUAAUGACGGUACCGUAAGAAUAAGCACCGGCUAACUACGUGCCAGCAGCCGCGGUAAUACGUAGGGUGCAAGCGUUAAUCGGAAUUACUGGGCGUAAAGCGUGCGCAGGCGGUUAUAUAAGACAGAUGUGAAAUCCCCGGGCUCAACCUGGGACCUGCAUUUGUGACUGUAUAGCUAGAGUACGGUAGAGGGGGAUGGAAUUCCGCGUGUAGCAGUGAAAUGCGUAGAUAUGCGGAGGAACACCGAUGGCGAAGGCAAUCCCCUGGACCUGUACUGACGCUCAUGCACGAAAGCGUGGGGAGCAAACAGGAUUAGAUACCCUGGUAGUCCACGCCCUAAACGAUGUCAACUGGUUGUUGGGUCUUCACUGACUCAGUAACGAAGCUAACGCGUGAAGUUGACCGCCUGGGGAAGUCGGCCGCAAGGUUGAAACGUCAAAAGUAGUAGUACGGACGAGAGAGAGACGACGGACGACGACGAGGAGGGAGGAGG